rnacentral:rRNA from 1 species
ACAGCAGUGCCGCGGUAAUACGAAGGGUGCAAGCGUUACUCGGAAUUACUGGGCGUAAAGCGUGCGUAGGUGGUGGUUUAAGUCCGUUGUGAAAGCCCUGGGCUCAACCUGGGAAUUGCAGUGGAUACUGGGUCACUAGAGUGUGGUAGAGGAUAGUGGAAUUUCCGGUGUAGCAGUGAAAUGCGUAGAGAUCGGAAGGAACAUCUGUGGCGAAGGCGACUAUCUGGGCCAACACUGACACUGAGGCACGAAAGCGUGGGGAGCAAACAGGAUUAGAUACCCCUGUAGUCCCUGUCUCUUAUACA